rnacentral:rRNA from 1 species
UACAGGGGGUGCAAACGUUGCUCGGAAUCAUUGGGCGUAAAGCGCACGUAGGCGGUCUGUUAUGUCGGAUGUGAAAGCCCUCGCUUAACCGAGGAAUUGCGCCCAAAACUACUGUGCUCGAGGGAGGUAGAGGUGAGCGGAACUUAGGGUGGAGCGGUGAAAUGCGUUGAUAUCCUAAGGAACACCGGUGGCGAAAGCGGCUCACUGGACCUCUUCUGACGCUGAGGCACGAAAGCUAGGGUAGCAAACGGG